CCAGAAAUUCAUAAGAGCUCCAGUUCCUCCACCCCCUCAACAGCCCUUGGUGUUGUCUGUCUUCUUCAUUUUGGUCAUUCUAGAAAGCAAUGGUCAGAAGAAAAUUAGAAAAUUUAAAAAUGGAAUUUCUCAGCACAGCAGAAUUCCUUCGCAAAAAUAAAACAUGAAAAUAAGACUGCAAUCAAAGUAAGCUUCUGAGUGACGCAUUUGUUAACCAAGCAAGGAAAGCCUUUCACCGAGGGAAUUUACAGCUCUUCUCUGAAAGCAGCAGAGGACCACAGCCAAUCCCCGACACCAAGUCUGUUCACACCAUCUCUGGACUUCCUGGUUCCCCCGACCCAGCUACCCUGUUCCAAAGAAGGAAUAAGACCAGUGGACAACCAAUCAACUGAAAAAGCCAGGUAAAUUCUGUAUUUAUCCCAUAAAAAUCCCUUAGUCUGUGAGCAACUCGGAACUCAUUGCUCCCAUAGCCUGAGUUUCCCAGCUGGCCGGUCAAAAGCCUUUCUGCUUUGUUUUAUUCACUACACGGUCUGGCUUUUGACACUUGCUUCUUUAAAAACUUGAAAUAGAAUUAUAAAAGCACUUAAGACAGUAGCUAAAAUGUGAGCAGUACUUUCAAGAGCAUUAAUACUUACAGAAGAAACAAUUUUGUAAGUAGUUUGAUGUGGUCCAUGUUUAAUUUCAAUCUCUUUAUUAUUCUGGCUGCACAUAACCCCUGAAUCAGAGUGCCUAUGAUCAGAAACAUACCAAAAUUCCGAACAGCAAGACUAAGAGGAGACCAAUGAGGUAGAGAGGGUGUAGAAAACUAACAGUUGGUCUAGAAACUCUGAGUUAGAUGGCAGGGGAAAGAAAAGUGGAAGCAGAAGGGACAGAAACAAAGAGAAGCUGAGUCGUCACAGUGGCAGAACAUUGCACAGAGAGCAACAGACGUCUACUCUUAAGGGACAAAAUGAUAAGAUUGAUGGAGCUGCUUCUUAUCAGAAUAGCUUUUAAGUGCUCAUGGAGGCCUGUGUGUCCUGUUCCUUAGCUCUGUGGCUGAUGAGAUUAUUUUGUUCUUUCUCUGUUUUUCAUAUGUUCUUACAACACAAACCAUCAACUGAGGCAACCUGAAGAUGUAUCUGCUCCUUACAACCUACAAGAAGCUAACUGGCGUAGACAAAUAUUUGGGUUGUAUCCAAAAAAAAUCACUGUGAUAACCAGCCUAAAAGAUAAAUCUUUGUCUGUGAUUAAUGUUAUUUCCUUAGGACUGAGCUCUAGAAUAAAAAUUGAGAGGUCAGGGGCCGGCCCAGUGGUGCAGCAGUUAGGUUUGCGCGUUCCGCUUCGGCAUCCUGGGGUUCCCUGGUUCGGAUCCUGGGUGCAGAUAUGGCACUGCUUGGCAAGCCAUGCUGUGGUAGGCAUCCCACAUAUAAAAAAAGUAGAGGAAGAUGGGCACAGAUGUUAGCUCAGGGCCAGUCUUCCUCAGUGAAAAGAGGAGGAUUGGCAGCAGUUAGCUCAGGGCUAAUCUUCCUCAAAAAAAAAAAUUUACAGGUCAAAGGGUAAAGAACUUUUUGAAUACUUCCAAACAGCUUUUCAUAAAUUGCUUUGAUAGCUAUUGAUGUUCAUUAUUUUUUCAUGAUUUUUAAAUCUUUUAAUUUCAUAUGUUGCACACUUUCUGUUUCUAUUCUGUCUAUAUGGCUGACACUGUAUUUUGGCAGACCCAACCUUCAUUUGCAACAUGUUUCUCCCUUACUUGACUCUCCUAUGGAGGAGGCGAAACCUAAAUUUUAAUUUCCACUCUCUCCUGUUGAGAAAUAAGUCGUCUGCUGCAUUCUCCAAAUGCUGCCUUUUUCCUGCUCGAACUGCUGGGAGAGGCAGCAGUCAUUUUGAAACCAAAAAUAUAAAAGUUACAUGCUAAGAAUGUAUGAGUCAAAAGGUUUACGCCUUGGACAUUGGUGAUGUUUGGAGUCACUGUAUCAUCGCUGCACAGAUUCCCAUGGACUUCUUGUUACCUGAGUAAAACAGACCUUUCACCUGUGAUGCCGCUGUAGUGGGUUUUUUCUGUUUCUUUUAGCUAAAUACAAUUUGACUGUAAUACCCAUCUUUUCAUGACUUCUUCUGUAUUGUGGAAAUCUAUUAUGUUUGUUGCAAAUAUUUUCCCAGUUAGUUGUUUGUUCUUUAGUUUGUUUACGAUAUUUUUCAAUGUACAUACGGUUUUAUGUUUAUGCUAUUAAAUGUACUCAC
rnacentral:lncRNA from 1 species